UCGAGAAUCAUUCGCAAUGGGCGAAAGCCUGACGGUGCGACGCCGCGUGGAGGAUGAAGGCCCUAGGGUCGUAAACUCCUGUCAUCAGGGAGUAAUGGCUCAUGUAGUAACUGACAUGAGUAGUGAUAGUACCUGAAGAGGAAGGGACGGCAAACUUCGUGCCAGCAGCCGCGGUAAUACGAAGGUCUCAAGCGUUGUUCGGAUUUACUGGGCGUAAAGCGUCUGUAGGCGGAGUGGUAAGUCAGAUGUGAAAUCCCGGGGCUCAACCCCGGAACUGCAUCCGAUACUGCCACCCUAGAGGGUCGGAGGGGAGUCUGGAAUUCUCGGUGUAGCAGUGAAAUGCGUAGAUAUCGAGAGGAACACUAGUGGCGAAGGCGAGACUCUGGACGACACCUGACGCUGAGAGACGAAGGCCAGGGUAGCGAAAAGG
rnacentral:rRNA from 1 species